rnacentral:rRNA from 1 species
UACAGAGGGUGCGAGCGUUAAUCGGAAUUACUGGGCGUAAAGCGCGCGUAGGCGGCUUUGCAAGUCGGGUGUGAAAUCCCCAGGCUUAACCUGGGAACUGCAUUCGAGACUGCAUUGCUAGAGUAUGGGAGAGGGAAGUGGAAUUCCGGUGUAGCGGUGAAAUGCGUAGAUAUCGGAAGGAACAUCAGUGGCGAAAGCGACGUCCUGGACCAAUACUGACGCUCAUGUGCGAAGCGUGGGGAGCAAACAGG